AUUGAACGCUGGCGGCAGGCUUAACACAUGCAAGUCGAGCGGAGAUGAGGUGCUUGCACCCUAUCUUAGCGGCGGACGGGUGAAUAAUGCUUAGGAAUCUGCCUAUUAGUGGGGGACAACAUUCCGAAAGGAAUGCUAAUACCACAUACGUCCUACGGGAGAAAGCAGGGGAUCUUCGGACCUUGCGCUAAUAGAUGAGCCUAAGUCGGAUUAGCUAGUUGGUGGGGUAAAGGCCUACCAAGGCGACGAUCUGUAGCGGGUCUGAGAGGAUGAUCCGCCACACUGGGACUGAGACACGGCCCAGACUCCUACGGGAGGCAGCAGUGGGGAAUAUUGGACAAUGGGGGGAACCCUGAUCCAGCCAUGCCGCGUGUGUGAAGAAGGCCUUAUGGUUGUAAAGCACUUUAAGCGAGGAGGAGGCUACUGAGACUAAUACUCUUGGAUAGUGGACGUUACUCGCAGAAUAAGCACCGACUAACUCUGUGCCAGCCGCCGCCGUAACAC
rnacentral:rRNA from 1 species